UACGUAGGGUGCGAGCGUUGUCCGGAAUUAUUGGGCGUAAAGAGCUGUAGGCGGUUUGUCGCGUCUGCUGUGAAAAUCCGGGGCUCAACCCCGGACUUGCAGUGGGUACGGGCAGACUAGAGUGUGGUAGGGGAGACUGGAAUUCCUGGUGUAGCGGUGGAAUGCGCAGAUAUCAGGAGGAACACCGAUGGCGAAGGCAGGUCUCUGGGCCACUACUGACGCUGAGAAGCGAAAGCAUGGGGAGCGAACAGG
rnacentral:rRNA from 1 species